rnacentral:rRNA from 1 species
GAUGAACGCUGGCGGCGUGCCUAAUACAUGCAAGUCGAGCGGAUGGAUUAAGAGCUUGCUCUUAUGAAGUUAGCGGCGGACGGGUGAGUAACACGUGGGUAACCUGCCCAUAAGACUGGGAUAACUCCGGGAAACCGGGGCUAAUACCGGAUAACAUUUUGAACCGCAUGGUUCGAAAUUGAAAGGCGGCUUCGGCUGUCACUUAUGGAUGGACCCGCGUCGCAUUAGCUAGUUGGUGAGGUAACGGCUCACCAAGGCAACGAUGCGUAGCCGACCUGAGAGGGUGAUCGGCCACACUGGGACUGAGACACGGCCCAGACUCCUACGGGAGGCAGCAGUAGGGAAUCUUCCGCAAUGGACGAAAGUCUGACGGAGCAACGCCGCGUGAGUGAUGAAGGCUUUCGGGUCGUAAAACUCUGUUGUUAGGGAAGAACAGGUGCUAGUUGAAUAAGCUGACACCUUGACGGUACCUAACCAGAAAGCCACGGCUAACUACGUGCCAGCCGCCGCGGUAA